rnacentral:tRNA from 1 species
UAUCGUUGUAGAGUUGGUUAUCACGUGUCCUUAACACGGACAAGGUCCUGGGAUCGAGCCCCAGUCUGGUCA